CGCCUGUCGGGACCCGAAAGAUGGUGAACUAUGCCUGAGCGGGGCGAAGCCAGAGGAAACUCUGGUGGAGGCUCGAAGCGAUACUGAGCGGCAAAUCGUUCGUCUGACUUGGGUAUAGGGGCGAAAGACUAAUCGAACCAUCUAGUAGCUGGUUCCCUCCGAAGUUUCCCUCAGGAUAGCUGGAGCCCAUUACGAGUUCUAUCAGGUAAAGCCAAUGAUUAGAGGC
rnacentral:ncRNA from 1 species